rnacentral:lncRNA from 1 species
UUUUCAAAUAUUUAUAAUUUGAAUAUGAUUUUGCUGAGGAGUGUGAUUUGAGAUAUGGUGUGAUUUGGGAGUUUGUGUGUGGUUUGAAAAGGAGAGUUGUGGGUAUAUUUAUAGGAAAGCACGGCUCGUCAAUCGUCGUUAAUACCUCGUAUAUAAAAACGCGGGCCUUUGUAAUUCCUCGCUAUUUCCUCGUACAAUAAAACGCAGGCCUUUGUAAUUGCUCGCUAUUUCGUCGUAACCUUACGAGGAAUUUGCAACGAUAUUAAAAUCGUCGUUAAUACCUCGUAUAUAAAAACACGGGCCUUUGUAAUUCCUCGCUAUUUCCUCGUACAAUAAAACGCGGGCCUUUGUAAUUGCUCGCUAUUUCAUCGUAACCUUACGAGGAAAUUGCGACGAUAUGUAAUCUUAUAUAUACCCCCGAGUGCUCACUCUUUCUUUCCUCUCUACUUCCUCUCCAUUUCGUGGCAAUGGUAAGCCUCUCUAAUUCCUCUCUAAUUUGGUUAGUUUAGGAUAUAUUAGGUGGUUAGUAUAAGAAAUUUAGAUAGGUUUACGGAUUUUAUGUUAUUUAGUGUUGAUUAGGUGGAUAAUGUUGGGAAAUAUACUGUUGAUGUUAAUUUUAAAAAUUAAUU